rnacentral:rRNA from 1 species
GGAGGCAGCAGUAGGGAAUUUUUCACAAUGGACGAAAGUCUGAUGGAGCAAUGCCGCGUGAACGAUGAAGGUCUUUUUAGAUUGUAAAGUUCUUUUAUUUGGGAAGAACAGUUAAUAGAGUGGAAAGCUAUUAAUUUGACUGUACCAUUUGAAUAAGUAACGACUAACUAUGUGCCAGCAGUCGCGGUAAUACAUAGGUUGCAAGCGUUAUCCGGAUUUAUUGGGCGUAAAACAAGCGCAGGCGGAUUAGAAAGUCUGGUGUUAAAAGCAAUUGCUUAACNAUUGUAUGCAUUGGAAACUUCUAGUCUAGAGUUUGGUAGAGAGUCCUGGAACUCCAUGUGGAGCGGUGAAAUGCGUAGAUAUAUGGAAGAACACCAGAGGCGAAGGCGAGGACUUGGGCCAAUACUGACGCUUAGGCUUGAAAGUGUGGGGAGCAAAUAGGAUUAGAUACCCUAGUAGUCCACACUGUAAACGAUGGAUGUUAAGUGUCGGAGCGAAUACUUCGGUGCUGCAGUUAACACAUUAAACAUCCUGCCUGAGUAGUACAUUCGCAAGAAUGAAACUCAAACGGAAUUGACGGGGACCCGCACAAGUGGUGGAGCAUGUUGCUUAAUUCGACGGUACACGAAAAACCUUACCUAGACUUGACAUCUUGGGCGAAGCUAUAGAAAUAUAGUGGAGGUCAACCCAAUGACAGGUGGUGCAUGGUUGUCGUCAGCUCGUGUCGUGAGAUGUUGGGUUAAG